rfam:Erinaceus europaeus unplaced genomic scaffold scaffold00577, whole genome shotgun sequence
GGACAUGAGGCUGAUCUACUGUGACAUCUGUCAGUCCACUGAUUGUCAGGGUCGAUUCAGCUGAUGUGGCUGGCUAGGUGGGUGGGUGUCCCCUUCCUCCUUCACCACUUCAUGUCCCUCCUGAAGCUGAGUGCUUGGUAGAAGAGGAUGACCUUCCCCAAGUAGAGAUGGAUUGGUCUUCCACUGAGGUUAUAUGAGUAGCUGGAGUAGUUCCACUCCUCUUCUAGAACCUACAAACAAGCACUCAAGGUCAGUAAGACCCAUAAGAUACAGCACUUUUAUAUAGUAGCAGGGCACAGGCAAAUCUGAGGAAUGGAAGUAAAAUUCCAAAAUGGCAACUGU